rnacentral:rRNA from 1 species
UGGGGAAUUUUGCACAAUGGGGGAAACCCUGAUGCAGCGACGCCGCGUGAUUUAGAAGGCCUUCGGGUUGUAAAAAUCUUUUCUAUGGGAAGAAAAUGACAGUACCAUAGGAAUAAGGACCGGCUAAUUACGUGCCAGCAGCCGCGGUAAUACGUAAGGUCCGAGCGUUGUCCGGAAUCAUUGGGCGUAAAGGGUACGUAGGCGGGUAAGCAAGUUAGAAGUGAAAUCCUAUAGGUCAACUAUAGUAAGCUUUUAAAACUGCUCAUCUUGAGGUAUGGAAGGGAAAGUGGAAUUCCUAGUGUAGCGGUGAAAUGCGCAGAUAUUAGGAGGAAUACCGGUGGCGAAGGCGACUUUCUGGCCAUAACCUGACGCUGAGGUACGAAAGCGUGGGUAGCAAACAGG